rnacentral:rRNA from 1 species
UACGUAGGGGGCGAGCGUUGUCCGGAUUUAUUGGGCGUAAAGAGCUCGUAGGCGGUUUGGUAAGUCGGGUGUGAAAUCUCCACGCUCAACGUGGAGGGGCCACUCGAUACUGCCAUGACUCGAGUCCGGUAGAGGAGUGUGGAAUUCCCGGUGUAGCGGUGAAAUGCGCAGAGUAUCGGGAGGAACACCCGUAGCGAAGGCGGCACUCUGGGCCGGAACUGACGCUGAGGCGCGACAGCGUGGGGAGCAACAGG